rnacentral:rRNA from 1 species
CUUAAAAACCGGUCCCAGUUCGGAUUGCAGGCUGCAACUCGCCUGCAUGAAGUCGGAGUUGCUAGUAAUCGCAGAUCAGAAUGCUGCGGUGAAUGCGUUCCCGGGCCUUGUACACACCGCCCGUCACACCACGAAAGUCGGAAGUGCCCAAAGCCGGUGGGGUAACCUUCGGGAGCCAGCCGUCUAAGGUAAAGUCGAUGAUUGGGGUGAAGUCGUAACAAGGUAGCCGUAUCGGAAGGUGCGGCUGGAUCACCUCCUUUCUAGGGAGA